GCCCCCUGACCUGCGGGAAUCCUGAACAGUGCAAUGGCCUCCGGAGCCGUGUGCGCAGGUUCGAAUCCUGCCGGGGGCA
rnacentral:tRNA from 1 species